UCCGGGGAGGGUGCCUCGUGGAAAUGGGUCUGCUACCACCAUGGCUUCCCCAGGUUCCAGGGAAGAAGGCGAUGAUCCCUCCCAAGGUUUUGCCGAAUUUUAUGCCUUUUCCUACCGCCGGAAGUCCUCUGGUGUCGCGGACUGCCUUGAAUUUCCCAGUGCCCAUGGGUAGCGUCGUCUGUCUCCAUGCAACAUCGUGGUUGCACGUGGGAAGCCAGCCGUGUCAUUUUCCUCUGCCACCACAGCAUUUUUCUUUUUACAAGAGUCAAACCACCCGUCUGCCUCCUAGUUCUUAAAAGUGUUUGUUGUUUUUCACACGCAGCCAAGGAAGGAUGUGUCUGCCAAGCAAGCGUAGCGGUAAUUAAAACGUGACGGCAACUAUCGCCAAGAACUCCUCCCACGCCAGGUCAAGGGCGGCACGAGGUGUCACAGUCGCGGGCAGGGGCCUGCCCGUGCUCCCACCGGGCAGGUGUCCGCGUCUGCAUCGGCGCUCCCAAUGCCGGGACCCACAGCCAGGUGUGGGUUUCGAACAGGAGCCCUUGAACGUGCGCGUGACUGGUCAUUGCUUCACAGAGCCCUUUUUAAAUGGUGAAAGUCUGCGCCGAGUUUGGGGGAUUAUCAAAGUGCAAACAAGAGGAAAGAGCGCAGGGGCUGGGGAGGGCUUUGUUCAGCUGGCACCUUCUCAGGCGGUCUGGGCUGAGGGGACCUGGAGAGUCCUUAGCAGGAGCGGAUGAAAAGGCGGCGGUGCCCCAGGCCCCCCAAGCACCUUCCAGCCUCUGGAAGGACAGGGUGACCCCCUGGACCAAGAGCCCCUUGGAGAAAGAGGACUUCACCCACCGCUUGGUAGCGCCUCUGCUCUCCAAGAGACAAGUGGGAGGUCUGCACACCCUUAUAGACUCUCAUUUAAGCAUCAUGCCAUCUUGCUCAACUGAAGGACAAGUUGUGUGUCGUUGACCCAGGGCAGGGGCUCAGCCACGCCCCCCCAACACCUUCGUGCUGCUCGAUGCCACUGCGGACCAGGGUUUUAUCGUUCAUCUCUCCUUCACUGACAGCAGAGAAGGUUCCAGUGCUCAAAUCCAUGCCUUGAAGUCUGUGAAACGCAGGGAAGGAGUAGAGCCGCUGAUGGCCAGUUUCCCUUGUGCCUUGCCCAGCGCAUCUCUCUGUGGCCCCAGACCAUCCUGUCCUCGUGUGCGGUCUGGGGACAGGGUUGUGGUGGCCCAUGACUGGAGUAGAUGUUUUUAAGAAUCCAAGACUCCGGGGGCGCCUGGGUGGCUCUGUCGGUUGAUUGCCCGACUUGGUUUCGGCUCAGCUCACGACCUUAGCUCAUGAUCAGGGGGUUCGUGAGUUCAGGUCCUGCCUUGGUCUCUGCACUGACAGCACGGAGCCUGCUUGCGAUUCUCUCUCUCCCUCUCUCUGCCUUCCCCCACUGGCUCUCUGCCUCUCUCUUUCAAAAUAAAUAAAUAAAACCCGAA